GUGUCAGCAGCCGCGGUAAUACGUAGGCAGCAAGCGUUGUUCGGAAUUACUGGGCGUAAAGAGUGUGUAGGUGGUGCUGUAAGUUUGGUGUGAAAUCUCCCGGCUUAACCGGGAGGGUGCGCCGAAAACUGCGGUGCUUGAGUAUGGGAGAGGAAAGCGGAAUUCCUGGUGUAGCGGUGAAAUGCGUAGAUAUCAGGAGGAACACCUGCGGUGUAGACGGCUUUCUGGACCAUUACUGACACUGAGACACGAAAGCGUGGGGAGCAAACAGGAUUAGAUACCCUAGUAGUCC
rnacentral:rRNA from 1 species